rnacentral:lncRNA from 1 species
CCCAGGUGGAAGACCGGAUCCACGGGGCCACGACGGAGGAGUGCCGGGAGGCCCUGCGGCUGAGCGGGUGGGAUGCCCAGAAAGCUGUGCAGAUGCUGAAGGUGGACCAGCUCUUCCACAUCAGCUCCCACUCGCGGGAGGAGUGCCGGCACAUCCUGGAGAAGCACCGCUGGAACCUGGCCAUGGCCUCGCGCUACGUGCUCAGCCGGAAACUCCGCACCUGACUGGCGGGCCCCGCGCUCCUCGCAGCCCCCGUGCCGAGCAACACCCUCCCUGCACUGGUGGCCACCGCGAGGCGCCGGGAUGCCCCCCUCCCCAUCCACAGAAGGGGGCCUUUUGCAGAACGUUCCCACUGGGUGGUGCGGAGGCAUCCAAGACUCCUGCCUGCGCGCCAACCACCCCCCCGCAAGGAAGUGCGCCUCUCAGGGUUACUUUGUUGUUGGUGGAGACUAUCAAAGGUGCUAGUCCUCUUGGAGGCAAACUCGGGCUUGGGUUGCACACUUCUGGACUCAACAGGACUGAAUUGUCUUCCAUGCUGCAGGAUGUUGUUUAACACUCCGACAAGGAUGUGACUUGCCUAAAGGAGGUGGCUGGGAGACCGGGGGCUUCAUCCAGGAUUGCCUUCCACCCACCGGGGGGCUCUUCCCUGGACAGACCAGAGGCCCCCAUGAUGAAUUUCGGCAGCACUCCUGUGGCUCGCUGUGUGAACGUCUCCCUUUCGCGAGAUCUGCUUUCACGGAGCUUAGAGAAGUGCUUAUUCCUUCUCGACCAAGCCUGCGCUUUUCGGCCACGUUCCUGAGCACAUGCUCCAAACUCAUCCAAUUAAGUCGCUUCGCGUUUACCGCAAGCAUCACGCCACGACGAGCUGAGCUGCACGGAGGGGCCGGCCGGCCGCUUCCUAUCCAUGGGAUGGCAUCCAAUCCUAAAGGGAGAACCCAGCACGGGGAGGGGGGGGGUCACAGCGGUGGUGCAAAACUACAACUCCCAAAAUGCACUUCGAGAGCGCAGCUGCAAAGCCUUGCUCUCUCCAGAAGCGGACCACGAGGAAGCAGCUGAAGGAUUGCAUGUUCGCCUGGGUGCGUGUCCCAACCCUUUGUGCGUCUGGGAGCGCAUGUGGAGUGCGUGGUGUUACAUUUGUACAUACAGAAUAAACUGACCUCGCAGCAGCA